AGAAUCACUGAAAUGAGAGCUCCCGGGAGAGGAGCAGAUCCUGUCCUUUAACGAGCUCCCCAAGGAGCCGGCGGCCGCAAGAUGCAUCCUCGGUAAACAAAACCCGGGCGGGGAAAGCGCAGACGGGGAGGACUCGGAGCUCAGUGUCUGCGGUGCAGCCUGCCUUGCGGUGGGCGGCAGCGUGUUUGGAGCUGAUUCUGAAUAUUUAAAAGCCAAAGUUGUCAGAAAUACCUCACACAGCUACAAACUGGGUUUUUUGGCUCAAAACAGAGGUGAGGUUUUCCUCUCUCUAUCGUUGCUUUUAACGUCUAGAACCUGGCACAUCUUCCUCAGCCGUUGCGGUGGGCUGCACCGUGGCCCCCAAGAUACGUCCGCGUCCUCAUCCCUGAAACCUGCAAACAUAACCUCACACAGUAAACGAGUAAAUUUCUUACACGGCAAAAGAUGUGAUUAAUUGGAGGAUUUUGAGAGGAGGAGCUUAUCUUGGAUUAUCUGGGUGGGCCCUAAAUCCAGGGACAAUUGUCUGUAGAAGAGCGAGGCAGAGGCAGUCUGACAGACGGGAGAGGAGAAGGUGAAGAUGAAGACAGGCUGGAGUGACGCUGCUGCCAGUCCAGGAAUGCUGGCAGCUGCCGGAGCUGGAACAGGCAAAGGACAGAUUCCCCCCAGAACCCGCAGAGAGACUGUCGUCCUGGGGACGUCUUGAUUUCAGACUCCGGCCCCAGAACGAGGAGAGAAUAAAUGUCUGUUGUUUUCUGCCUCCCAGUUUGGGGUUGUUUGUUACAGCAGCCACAGAAAACUAAUACAGUCAUGAAAGUUAUUCCAAAUUUUGAGAAGGAAAGUUAAGUAAUUGAAUUUGCCCCACCCCAGGGCCUUUGCACGUGCUGACCCUUCUUCUGUUGUGCUCUGCCCCAGCUCACCCAUGCCCAGCUCCUUCUCACAAGUCCUAGUCCUGCUUAAAUGUCACUUCCUCAUAGAAGCCUUCCCUGACCCCUGCCCCAGUAAAAGGAGCCACUUGUCACUCUUAGCCCCUUACUCUAUUCGAGGGUUUCCCUUGCACUUACUACAAUAUAAAAUGAUCUGUCCAUUGGUUUACUUGGUAAUUGUCUCCACACGAGUGGGACCCUGGUCUGGCUAUAUUUCUAGUGCCAGGUACCUAGUGGAGGCUAAAUAAAUAUGUAUUUGGUAAAAAGAAUUAAUGUUCCUAAAACAUAGAGAAAUGCAAACACUAUACAAUAAAACAAGACUCCAAAGAAUUCUUGAGCUACAAAGGGUCUCUUGGCCACAUCCAGCCCCAUGGGACACACU
rnacentral:lncRNA from 1 species